CCUACGGGGGGCAGCAGUGGGGAAUAUUGCGCAAUGGGCGAAAGCCUGACGCAGCGACGCCGCGUGAGGGAUGAAGGUCUUCGGAUCGUAAACCUCUGUCAGCAGGGAAGAACGGUCACUGUGCUAAUCAGCAGUGAAUUGACGGUACCUGCAAAGGAAGCACCGGCUAACUCCGUGCCAGCAGCCGCGGUAAUACGGAGGGUGCGAGCGUUAAUCGGAAUUACUGGGCGUAAAGCGCUCGUAGGCGGUAUGUCAAGUCAAGGGUGAAAGCCCCGCGCUCAACGUGGGAACCGCCUUUGAAACUGGCAAACUGGAGUGUGUGAGAGGAUAGUGGAAUUCCAGGUGUAGGAGUGAAAUCCGUAGAUAUCUGGAGGAACAUCAGUGGCGAAGGCGACUAUCUGGCACAUAACUGACGCUGAGGAGCGAAAGCGUGGGUAGCAAACAGGAUUAGAUACCCGAGUAGUC
rnacentral:rRNA from 1 species